rnacentral:rRNA from 1 species
UACGUAGGGUGCGAGCGUUGUCCGGAAUUAUUGGGCGUAAAGAGCUCGUAGGCGGUGUGUCGCGUCGGUCGUGAAAACUUGGGGCUUAACCCUGAGCUUGCGGUCGAUACGGGCAUCACUGGAGUUCGGCAGGGGAGACUGGAAUUCCUGGUGUAGCGGUGAAAUGCGCAGAUAUCAGGAGGAACACCGGUGGCGAAGGCGGAUCUCUGGGCCUUACCUGACGCUCGAGGCGCGAAAGCUAGGGGAGCGAACUGG